rnacentral:rRNA from 1 species
CCCUUAGAUGUUCUGGGCUGCACGCGCGCUACACUGAUGCGCUCAACGAGUUUACGACCUUGCCCGGAAGGGUUGGGUAAUCUUUUUAAAACGCAUCGUGAUGGGGAUAGAUUAUUGCAAUUAUUAAUCUUUAACGAGGAAUUCCUAGUAAGCGCGAGUCAUCAGCUCGUGCUGAUUACGUCCCUGCCCUUUGUACACACCGCCCGUCGCUACUACCGAUUGGAUGGCUUAGUGAGACCCUCGGACCGAUAGGCUGUCGCUGCAGCAAUGUGGCGACUGGCCCGUCUUGGGAAGAAGGUCAAACUUGACUGUCUAGAGGAAGUAAAAGUCGUAACA